AGAUUAAGCCAUGCAUGUGUAAGUGCAUACCAGAUAUGGUGAAAACCGCGAAUGGCUCAUUACAUCAGUCGUAGUUUAUGGGACAAUAUGACAGGUGGACAACUGUGGAAAAUCUAGAGCUAAUACAUGCACACAAGUCCUGACGCAAGAAAGGACGCAUUUAUCAGAUCAAAGCCAACGUUCUCGCAAGGGAGCAAAAUUAUGAUGACUCUGGGUAAAUUUUCGGAUUGCACUGCCUUCGAGCAGGCGACGUUGAUUGCAAGUGUCUGACCUAUCAACUUUUGAUGGCAGUCGACAUUACUGCCAUGGUUGUAACGGGUAACGGGGAAUCAGGGUUCGAUUCCGGAGAGAGAGCAUGAGAAAUGGCUGUCACAUCCAAGGAAGGCAGCAGGCGCGCAAAUUACCCAAUCCCCGAUCGGGGAGGUAGUGACGAGAAAUAGCGAUGCCGCGAUCAUUUGAUUCGGCAGUUGAAAUGAGAACAAUGAAAGAAUUUUAUCGAGAAUCUAUUGGAGGGCAAGUUCUGGUGCCAGCAGCCGCGGUAAUUCCAGCUCGAAAAGCGUAUGUUAAAGUUGCUGCGGUUAAAACGCUCGUCGUUGGACAUCAGGAGAUGGAUCGUGGACAACCUAGAGUUGCUACUACGGUUUCACUCCUUUUUUAUGCCAGUUCAUCGAUGAUGUACUUGAAUGUGUGUCACGGUAGAAGGUCAAUGUCACUUUGAGAAAAUUAGUGUGCUCAACGCAGGCUUUACGCUUGUAUAAUGCUGCAUGGGAUGACGGAAUAGGGCCUCGGUUCCGUUUCGUUGGUUUACGAAAGCAGAGGUCAUGAUUAAUCGGGACAGACGGGGGCAUUCGUAUUGCGAUGCUAGAAGUGAAAUUCUGUGACCAUCGCAAGACGGACAACUGCGAAAGCAUUUGCCAAGAAUGUUUUCAUUAAUCAAGAACGAAAGUUAGAGGAUCGAAGACGAUUAGAUACCGUCCUAGUUCUAACUGUAAACUAUGCCGACCGGGGAUUCGCCAAUGCAAUAUUGCUUGGCGAGCACCCUCCGGGAAACCAAAGUGAUUGGGUUCCGGGGGGAGUAUGGUUGCAAAAUCGAAACUUAAAGGAAUUGACGGAGGGGCACACCAGAAGUGGAGCCUGCGGCUCAAUUUGACUCAACGCACGAAAGCUUACUCGGUCCGAACACCGUGAGGAUUGACAGGUUGAAAGCUCUUUCUUGAUCCGGUGGGUAGCGGUGCAUGGCCGUUCGUAGUUGGUGAAGUGAUUUGUCUGGUUUAUUCCGAUAACGAACGAGACUCUAGCCUACUAAUUAGCGUGAUGAUUGAUCGUCAUUACAAAUGCUUCUUAGAGGGACAGGUGUUGCUUAAACACACGAAGUAGAGCAAUAACAGGUCUGUGAUGCCCUUCGAUGUUCGAGGCUGCACGCGCGCUACAAUGGAGGGCGCAAAGCGCACUACACAUUUUGAAAAGGAUGCGGAAUCGUAAAUAGCCUUCAUGACUGGGAUCGGAGAUUGAAAUUAUUCUUCGUGAACGAGGAAUUCCUAGUAAGCGCGAAUCAUUACCUCGCGUUGAUUAAGUCCCUGCCCUUUGUACACACCGCCCGUCGCUACUACCGAUUGAAUGAUUUGGUGAGGUCUGUGGAUAGGUGUCACUGGGUUAACCCCCUGUUGUACUUACCUAGAAGCUGACCAAGCUUAAGCGUUUAGAGGAAGUAAAAGUCGUAACAAGGUUU
rnacentral:rRNA from 1 species